UGGGGAAUUUUGGACAAUGGGGGAAACCCUGAUCCAGCAAUGCCGCGUGCAGGAUGAAGGCCUUCGGGUUGUAAACUGCUUUUGUACGGAACGAAAAGGCCCCUUCAAAUAAAGGGGGCCCAUGACGGUACCGUAAGAAUAAGCACCGGCUAACUACGUGCCAGCAGCCGCGGUAAUACGUAGGGUGCAAGCGUUAAUCGGAAUUACUGGGCGUAAAGCGUGCGCAGGCGGUUAUGUAAGACAGAUGUGAAAUCCCCGGGCUCAACCUGGGAAUUGCAUUAGUGACUGCAUAGCUUGAGUGCGGCAGAGGGGGAUGGAAUUCCGCGUGUAGCAGUGAAAUGCGUAGAUAUGCGGAGGAACACCGAUGGCGAAGGCAAUCCCCUGGGCCUGCACUGACGCUCAUGCACGAAAGCGUGGGGAGCAAACA
rnacentral:rRNA from 1 species